rnacentral:rRNA from 1 species
CACGGGUGAGUAACGCGUAUACAAUUUACCUUAUACUGGAGAAUAGCCUUUAGAAAUGAAGAUUAAUACUCCAUAGUAUUAUGAUAUGGCAUCAUAUUAUAAUUAAAGAUUUAUUGGUAUAAGAUGAGUAUGCGUCCUAUUAGUUAGUUGGUAAGGUAAUGGCUUACCAAGACAUCGAUAGGUAGGGGUCCUGAGAGGGAGACCCCCCACCACUGGUACUGAGACACGGACCAG